rnacentral:rRNA from 1 species
UACGAGGGGGGCAAGCGUUGUUCGGAAUUAUUGGGCGUAAGGGGGUGCGUAGGCGGUCUGAUAAGUCAUCUGUGAAAUCUAUGGGCUCAACCCAUAGUCUGCAGGCGAAACUGUCGGGCUUGAGUAUGGGAGAGGUGAGUGGAAUUUCCGGUGUAGCGGUGAAAUGCGUAGAUAUCGGAAGGAACACCUGUGGCGAAAGCGGCUCACUGGACCAUUACUGACGCUGAUGCACGAAAGCUAGGGGAGCAAACAGG